rnacentral:misc_RNA from 1 species
UUGUGCUUCUCCAAUCCCACAAAAGAGGCCAACAAUGAAAGAGGUGCUGCAAGUCCUGGAGAAAAUCCCAUCUUCUUCUUCAUCCUCAUCAUACUUGUAUGGUCACUAAUGAGAGAAAUAAUUAUUAAUUAAUUUAUAACAUAUUUUUUAAAUAUAAUUAGAAAAAAAAAUUAAUUUGGUAGAAAUAUGUGUCAACAGCUUUGUUUUUAUUCUUAAAACUGAAGCCGUCUUUAGGGUUGAAAUGGUCAAUCACACAUAAAUGGAAAGACCAAAGUUGUCUAUUUUACUGUGGCUUGUAAGUAAGCUUUUGAUGAUGCAUAGAAAUGCAAAUAAAAG